rnacentral:rRNA from 1 species
GACGAACGCUGGCGGCGUGCUUAACACAUGCAAGUCGAACGGAAAGGCCCUGCUUUUGUGGGGUGCUCGAGUGGCGAACGGGUGAGGAACACGUGAGUAACCUGCCCUUGACUUUGGGAUAAGUUCAGGAAACUGGGGCUAAUACCGGAUAGGAGCUCCUGCUGCAUGGUGGGGGUGGGAAAGUUUCGGCGGUUGGGGAUGGACUCGCGGCUCAUCAGCUUGAUGGUGGGGUAGUGGCUUACCAAGGCUUUGACGGGUAGCCGUCCUGAGAGGGUGACCGGCCACACUGGGACUGAGAUACGGCCCAGACUCCUACGGGAGGGAGCAGUGGGGAAUGUUGCACGAUGGGCGGAAGCCUGAUGCAGCAACGCCGCGUGCGGGAUGACGGCCUGCGGGUUGUAAACCGCUUUCGCCUGUGACGAAGCGUGAGUGACGGUAAUGGGUAAAGAAGCACCGGCUAACUACGUG